rnacentral:rRNA from 1 species
GCAGUCGAACGCGAACGUUUCCUUCGGGGAACUAGUAGAGUGGCGCACGGGUGAGUAACGCGUAAGUAAUCUACCCUCGCAUUCGGGAUAACCCACCGAAAGGUGUGCUAAUACCGGAUACGUCUCAUUUAAUAUCUUUUGAUGAGAGAAAGGUGGCCUCUUGAAUCAAAGCUACUGUGCGGGGAGGAGCUUGCGUACCAUUAGCUAGUUGGUAGGGUAACGGCCUACCAAGGCGAUGAUGGUUAGCGGGUCUGAGAGGAUGAUCCGCCACACUGGAACUGGAACACGGACCAGACUCCUACGGGAGGCAGCAGUGAGGAAUAUUGCGCAAUGGGGGCAACCCUGACGCAGCGACGCCGCGUGGAUGAUGAAGGCCUUCGGGUUGUAAAAUCCUGUCAGAUGGGAAGAAGUGUGUAUCACCCAAUACGUGAUACAUUUGACGGUACCAUCAAAGGAAGCACCGGCUAACUCCGUGCCAGCAGCCGCGGUAAUACGGAGGGUGCAAGCGUUGUUCGGAAUUACUGGGCGUAAAGCGCGCGUAGGCGGCUAGAUAAGUCAGAUGUGAAAGCCCGCGGCUCAACCGUGGAAGAGCAUU